UGAUUUUAACUCCAUCCAUGAUUGUAGCACUUUCCAUAUACUAAUCAAAUACACGCAACCCUAAUCCACAUUCAAAUUUCAAACACUCGAUUAAUCAGGAAGCAAAUCAUCUUCAGUUGUUUCGGUUUUAAAUAUCGCAUGUCUUUAUGCAUCACAUUAAAUGCUUGAUUGGGAAUUCUGAUGAUUUUCUCACUCGCUUUCAAAACCCUAGGUUCUAUGGUCUUGGGUGUAGUGAAGAGUUGCAUCGGGAAGAAGUUCAUGACCAAGAUUGUGGAUCUUAUAAGCGUCAUUUUUUCCUUUUUGUCCUCUUUAUUGUUCUUAUAAGUUUGGUUAUCAUAAAUAUUUUAUCCAGUUUUACUAAAGUGCCAAAGUUGUUUCAGAUUCCUUGCAAAAGUUAUUAAAAUGUCAAAGAUCAAGUUCUCAGGUUCUAUACUAAAAUAGGAUGCUUCAUGCCGAAACCAGGUGCUGAUUUAAAUUGUGUUUGCCAAUUUGAUUUGAUUAGCACACAUCUAUCACUUAAAGGAAGGAAGUUCACCUACAAUGCAUGUGUUGCCUCGUCAUGGUUUUCCAUGCUUCAAGGUAUAUGGGUCUCUUGGAUAACCAGAUUGAAAGAAACAAUAAACAGGGGAAAAUUUACAAAAAACAUGGGAGCUUGGAAAACAUGUUUUCUCUAACUUUUUUCUUUGAGGUCAUCAUAUUUUAUGAACAUACAUAAAAUAUUAUUUUAUGUACUACCGUUCUUAUUUGUUGUUCACUAUAUAUACAAGAGUGUAUGCUUGUGCUGAUGCAAGUGUAUGUGUAUUUGUACGUUUAUGUUUGUAUGGCUGU